rnacentral:lncRNA from 1 species
UCAUUUUCACUGUCAGGAAGUGGGAGGACUUGGUUAGCCUAUCCAUAAUCACCUAGAUAGCAUCAUGGUCUACUCGGAUCCUAGGCAAUCUAAUUACAAAGGUCAUGGUGAUAUGUUUGCAUUUCCACUCAAGAAUUGGAAAAAGUUAGAGGGGUCCACUAGGACUCUAUUGUUCUACUUUCACUAGCUAAUAAGUAAGCCAUUUGGAAACAUACU